UUUUAGCUCACCUGGCCCGAAGGACCAAGUGAGCUUUUCUCAUCACUUGGCGUCCGUCGUCCGUCGUCGGCGUUAACUUUUUACAUUUUGAACUUCUUCUAGAGAACCACUGAAUGGAAUGAAACCAAACAUGGCAUGAAUGUUCCUUAUGAGGUGCUGACCAUGUGUUGUUACUUUGUAGCUGAUCCAUCAUCCAAGAUGGCCGCCAUCAGGGAACUUAGUUUAACAUAGGACCCUAUGGGAAAUACAUAAAAAUGUCUUCUUUUAGAGAACCACUGAAUGGAAUGGAACCAAACAUGGCAUGAAUGUUCCUUAUGAGAUGCUGACCAAGUGUUGUUACUUUGCAGUCGGUCCAUCAUCCAAGAUGGCCGCCAGCGGGGGACUUAGUUUAACAUAGGACCCUAUGGGAAAUACAUAAAAAUGUCUACUUUUAGAGAACCAUUGAAUGGAAUGAAACCUAACAUGGCAUGAAUGUUCCUUAUGAGGUGCUGACCAAGUGUUGUUACUUUGUAGCCAAUCCAUCAUCCAAGAUGGCCGCCAGAGGGGGACUUAGUUUAACAUAGGACCCUAUGGGAAAUACAUAAAAAUGUCUUCUUUUAGAGAACCACUGAAUGGAAUGGAACCAAACAUGGCAUGAAUGUUUCUUAUGAGAUGUUGACCAAGUGUUGUUACUUUGCAGCCGAUCCAUCAUCCAAGAUGGCCGCCAGCGGGGGACUUAGUUUAACAUAGGACCCUAUGGGAAAUGCAUACAAAUGACUUCUUUUAGAGAACCACUGAAUGGAAUGAAACCAAACAUGGCAUGAAUGUUCCUUAUGAGGUGCUCACCAAGUGUUGUUACUUUGUAGCAGAUCCAUCAUCCAAGAUGGCCGCCAGCGGGGGACUUAGUUUAACAUAGGACCCUAUGGGAAAUACAUAAAAAUGUCUUCUUUUAGAGAACCACUGAAUGGAAUGAAACCAAACAUGGCAUGAAUGUUCCUUAUGAGAUGUUGACCAAGUGUUGUUACUUUGCAGCCAAUCCAUCAUCCAAGAUGGCCGACAGUGGGGGACUUAGUUUAACAUAGGACCCUAUGGGAAAUACAUACAAUUGUCUUCUUUUAGAGAACCACUGAAUGGAAUUGAACCAAACAUGGCAUGAAUGUUCCUUAUGAGUUGCUGACCAAGGGUUGUUACUUUGCAGUCGAUCCAUCAUCCAAGAUGGCCGCAAGGGGGGGGGGGGCUUAGUUUAACAUAGGACCCUAUGGGAAAUACAUACAAAUGUCUUCUUUUAGAGUACCACUGAAUGGAAUGAAACCAAACAUGGCAUGAAUGUUCCUUAUGAAGUGCUGACCAAGUGUUGCUACUUUGUUGCCGAUUUACUGUUCAAGAUGGCCACCAGGAUAUUUUAUUAAAUAACGGGACCAAUAUUAAUCAAAAUUUGGCCUCAAUCAUUAUUUGGGUAUCUGUUAUGAUUUUUAUCUAUCUUUACAUGAUUUCUAAAACCAAAGUAGAGUCAGGUGAGCGACACAGGCUCUUGAGAGCCUCUAGUUUCUUUUUCUUAUCUGAAAGCAUAUUAUUAGAGCUAUCUUCUCAUAUCUUAUCUCAAAAUUCUAUGGUGUAGUUUUCGUUUUAUGGCAGAAAAUUGGGUUUUCCAUGCAUAAUCUAUACAAAAUCUGUCAAUUUUGCACAACCUGUAGCGUGAAAAUAAGCCC